ensembl:lncRNA
GGAGGAAGCGCUCCCGUUCCAGGCACAGAAGCAGACCCUCUCAGAGGUCACUGCCCAAGGUUAGCGAGUCCCGUGGCUCUCGGGGCGUCCACAAGAGAUCUACCCGCUCCACAGACAGACGGAGGAGCCGCAGCGGCUCCCGAUCAAGGGAUAGGCGUAAAGACAGGGAGGAGAAAAGAAGAGCCAAGGACGACGUCUCCCGGGUCAUCAAGGAGGAUCGGAGGCAAAGGGGGAAGAAGGGCAAAACCCCUCCCAAAAGCUACAGUACGUUCCGAAGGUCCCGGAGCACGAGCAGGGGCCACAGAAGGAAGAGCCGGGAUAGCUCCAGGAGUCCGAGGAGGAAAGCCAGGUCUCCCUCACCUAAGAGAGUAAAAGACAAGAAGAGGGAGAAAGCAAGGGAUAGCAGCAGGGAAAGAAGAGACCGAUCCACCUCCAGGAAGAGGAGCAGCAGAGAUAAAGAGAAGAUGGAGCGCAAGCCUGUCAAGUCUGUCAAGGUGGACAGGGACUGCGACAAGGAGAAAGGGGACUACGAGAGUGACAGGGAAGGUUCACCAACACUAAGUGAGGGCGUGACAUCACUCUGCGCCCAGCACAAUGGCAGCUGCAACACACAAACAGAGGAUGAUGUGACUUCACUCACCGACAGCACUGAGUGAUGGCUGGGAAGCAAGGCAAAACUAUGGGAGCAAGACAGUCCA